AUUGAACGCUGGCGGCAGGCUCAACACAUGCAAGUCGAGCGAGCGGCGGACGGGUGUGUAGUGUCUGGGAACCUGCCUGAAGGAGGGGGAUAACUAAUGGAAACGAUCGCUACUACCGCCUACGAUCCGUAAUGCCCAGUUGGGAUUAGCUAUGAGGUGGGGUAGUGGCUCACGUAGGUUAAGAUCCCUAGCUGGUCUGAGAGGAUGACCAGCCACACGAGAACUGAGUCACUGUCCAGUCUCCUACGGGAGGCUGCAGUGGGGAAUAGUGAACAAUGGGCGAAAGCCUGAUAGAGCCAUGUCGCGUGUGGGAAGAAGGCCUUCGGGUUGUAAAGCUCUUUCAGCGUGGAGGCGUUACUCUCAGAAGAAGCACCGGCUAACUCCGUGCCAGCAGCCGCGGUAAUAC
rnacentral:rRNA from 1 species